GUAGUCAUAUGCUUGUCUCAAAGAUUAAGCCAUGCAUGUCUAAGUAUAAGCAAUCUAUACAGUGAAACUGCGAAUGGCUCAUUAAAUCAGUUAUCGUUUAUUUGAUAGUGCCUUACUACAUGGAUAACCGUGGUAAUUCUAGAGCUAAUACAUGCUAAAAACCCCGACCUCUGGAAGGGGUGUAUUUAUUAGAUAAAAAACCAAUGGCUUCGGCCUCUAUGGUGAAUCAUAAUAACUUCACGAGUCGCAUGGCCUUGCGCCGGCGAUGGUUCAUUCAAAUUUCUGCCCUAUCAACUCUCGAUGGUAGGAUAGUGGCCUACCAUGGUUGCAACGGGUAACGGGGAAU
rnacentral:rRNA from 1 species